rnacentral:rRNA from 1 species
UACGUAGGGGGCAAGCGUUGUCCGGAAUCAUUGGGCGUAAAGAGCGCGUAGGCGGCCCUGUAAGUCCGCUGUGAAAGUCAAGGGCUCAACCCUUGGAUGCCGGUGGAUACUGCAGGGCUAGAGUCCGGAAGAGGCGAGUGGAAUUCCUGGUGUAGCGGUGAAAUGCGUAGAUAUCUGGAGGAACACCGGUGGCGAAGGCGGCAUCCUGGACCGGCAUUGACGCUGAGGCGCGAAAGCUAGGGGAGCAAACGGG